rnacentral:rRNA from 1 species
GACGAACGCUGGCGGCGUGCCUAAUACAUGCAAGUAGAACGCUGAAGGAGUAACUUGCUUCUCUGGAUGAGUUCCGAACGGGUGAGUAACGCGUAGGUAUCCUGCCUUGCAUCGUGGGGUAACUUUUCGAAACGAUAGCUAAUCCCGCAUAACAGUCGAUGUUGCAUUACAUUUGCUUAAAAUUUGCAAUUUCAUCGCUACCAUGUGGCGCUGCGUUGUUUUAUCUUGUUGGGGGGGUAACGGCUCACCAAGGCGGCGAUACAUAUCCGACCUGAGAGGGGGAUCGGGCACACUGGGACUGGGACACGGCCCAGAAUCCUAAGGGGGGGAGCAGUAGGGGAAUUUUGGCAAAGGGCGGAAGUCUGAACGAGGAACGCCGGGGGGGUGAAGAAGGGUUUCGGAUCGGAAAAGUCUGUUGUAAGGGAAGGAAGAGUGUGAGAGUGGAAAGUUCACACUGUGACGGUAUCUAAAGAGAAAGCGACGGCUAACUACGUG